rnacentral:rRNA from 1 species
CCUACGGGAGGCAGCAGUGAGGAAUAUUGGUCAAUGGGCGCGAGCCUGAACCAGCCAAGUCGCGUGAGGGAAGACGGUCCUAUGGAUUGUAAACCUCUUUUGUCGGGGAGCAAAAGACACAACGCGUGGCGUUCCGAGAGUACCCGAAGAAAAAGCAUCGGCUAACUCCGUGCCAGCAGCCGCGGUAAUACGGAGGAUGCGAGCGUUAUCCGGAUUUAUUGGGUUUAAAGGGUGCGCAGGCGGAAGAGCAAGUCAGCGGUAAAAUUGAGAGGCUCAACCUCUUCGAGCCGUUGAAACUGGUUUUCGUGAGUGAGUGAGAAGUAUGCGGAAUGCGUGGUGUAGCGGUGAAAUGCAUAGAUAUCACGCAGAACUCCGAUUGCGAAGGCAGCAUACCGGCGCUCAACUGACGCUCAUGCACGAAAGUGUGGGUAUCGAACAGGAUUAGAUACCCGGGUAGUC